AACCUGCUUGGGUCCCUUUCCACACCGCGGAAGCUUUGUUCUUUUGCUCUUUGCAAUAAAUCUUGCUGCUGCUCACUCUUUGGGUCCACACUGCCUUUAUGAGCUGUAACACCGCGAAGGUCCACAGCUUCACUCCUGAGCCAGCGAGACCACGAACCCCACCAGAAGGAAGAAUCUGUGAACACAUCCGAACAUCAGAAGGAACAAACUCUAGACAUGCCGCCUUUAAGAACUGCAACACUCACUGCGAGUGUCCGCGGCUUCAUUCUUGAAGUCAGUGAGACGAAGAACCCACCAAUUCCAGACACAUUUUGGCGACCUAGAUGGGACAAUCGCCUAUCACCGAGUGGUGAGACCAUCGCCUAUAGCUGAGCGGCGAGACAAUCACCUAUCGCCAAGCAAUUACCUACCACUUCCAGGGUCAGAGCCCUUCACUUCAUAUUCAUGAGGAGACGGGGAAUUGGAAUAUACCCGCAGCCGACAAUCUCAGUGUGAAAUACUGGUUUACUGUUUGGAGAACAAUAGACAAUGAUCAACAACUGAAGAGCUGA
rnacentral:lncRNA from 10 species